ensembl:lncRNA
CACGGCUAGUGUAAAUGGUCUCACGGCUAGUUGUCAUGGUCACACGGCCAGUGUCAUAGUCUCACGGCCAGUGUCAUAGUCUCACGGCCAGUGUCAUAGUCUCACGGCCAGUGUCAUAGUCUCACGGCCAGUGUCAUAGUCUCACGGCCAGUGUCAUAGUCUCACGGCCAGUGUCUUAGUCUCACGGCCAGUGUCAUAGUCUCACGGCCAGUGUCAUAGUCUCACGGCCAGCGUCAUAGUCUCACGGCCAGUGUCAUAGUCUCACGGCCAGUGUCAUAGUCCACAUUCCUAUCAUUUGAGCCAGACUAUUUCCCCCCUCAUGCAGAGCCUGUAGCUAGAAUCCACCCCUCUUUUUCCACCGGUGCCAAGGCACUCUUCUCGCUCCCUAGUAGGCUGGUUCUGUUCUCUGGUCGUCUUGGCAGCCUGCCCUCCCCCCAGGAUUGGUGCUCUCCACUGGGCCGGCCCUUCACUGUGAAGCCUAACAGGACUCGG